UACAUGUUCUGUUACCAUGGAUAUUUUGUG
rnacentral:piRNA from 1 species